rnacentral:tRNA from 1 species
GGGCUCGUGGUCUAGUGGCUAUGACGCUGCCCUCACACGGCAGAGGUCCUGGGUUCAAAUCCCAGCGAGCCCA